GAGAGGAGCCGCAGCCCCAGGAUUCCCAGGUGCUUCUGCUUGCUGAUCAGGACUGCACAGAGAACUCACCAUGGAGUUGGGGUUGAGCUGGGUUUUCCUUGUUGCUAUUUUAGAAGGUGUCCAGUGUGAGGUGCAGCUGGUGGAGUCUGGGGGAGGCUUGGUACAGCCUGGGGGGUCCCUGAGACUCUCCUGUGCAGCCUCUGGAUUCACCUUCAGUAGCUACUGGAUGAGCUGGGUCCGCCAGGCUCCAGAGAAGGGGCUGGAGUGGGUCUCAUAUAUUAAUAGUGAUGGGAGUAGCACAAGCUACGCAGACUCCAUGAAGGGCCGAUUCACCAUCUCCAGAGACAACGCCAAGAACUCACUGUAUCUGCAAAUGAACAGUUUGAGAGCUGAAGACAGAGCUGUGUAUUACUGUGUGAGAGACACAGUGAGGGGAAGUCAGCGCUUCAUUCUUACACUUCCCUUUUCUCCUUUGUUCUUAAAACGGAGGGUGUGCUUCCUGUGGUCUAAACCGCAGGCCUCAGAUACAUUACCUGGAACUCAGGAACCAGACAUACAACUUGGCAUCUCAGAAGCAGAUCCCCAAGACUUCCUUUAUCUGGGCUUCACGGGCAGCACAGGACCAGCAGGAGAUGCUCAGAACGCACGCAAGGCAGAGCCACAGUGA